AGCUCCAAUAGCGUAUAUUAAAGUUGUUGCAGUUAAAAAGCUCGUAGUUGGAUUUCUGGCGUCGCCGCCCGGUCGGCCUCGAAAGGGGUUCGCACUCGUUGGCGCGCGUCGCCAUCCUCGGGGGAAGGCCGCCUGGCAUUAAGUUGUCGGGCGGUCGACGCUCGUCGUUUACUGUGAACAAAUUAGAGUGUUCAAAGCAGGCUUAGGCCGUUGAAUACAUUAGCAUGGAAUAAUGAGAUAGGACUUUGGUGGUCUAUUUUGUUGGUUUGCACGCCGAAGUAAUGAUUAAUAGGGGCGGUUGGGGGUAUUCGUAUUCAAUUGUCAGAGGUGAAAUUCUUGGAUUUAUGGAAGACGAACUACUGCGAAAGCAUUUACCAAGGAUGUUUUCA
rnacentral:rRNA from 1 species